AGAGUUUGAUCAUGGCUCAGGAUGAACGCUAGCGGCAGGCCUAACACAUGCAAGUCGAGGGGCAGCAUAUAGCUUCGGUGAUGAUGGCGACCGGCGCACGGGUGAGUAUCGCGUUUGUAACCUACCCUUAACUGGGGGAUAGCCCGGAGAAAUCCGGAUUAAUACCCCAUAGUAUUUAAGCACGGCAUCGUGCUUUCAUUAAAGCUCCGGCGGUUAAGGAUGGGCAUGCGUGACAUUAGUUUGUUGGUGAGGUAACAGCUCACCAAGACUACGAUGUCUAUGGGGUCUGAGAGGAUGAUCCCACACACUGGUACUGAGACACGGACCAGACUCCUACGGGAGGCAGCAGUGAGGAAUAUUGGUCAAUGGACGAAAGUCUGAACCAGCCAUGCCGCGUGCAGGAUGACGGCCCUAUGGGUUGUAAACUUCUUUUAUACAGGAAGAAAAAGGUCAUGCGUGACCAAUUGACGGUACUGUAUGAAUAAGCACCGGCUAACUCCGUGCCAGCAGCCGCGGUAAUACGGAGGGUGCAAGCGUUGUCCGGAUUUAUUGGGUUUAAAGGGUGCGUAGGCGGUACGCUAAGUCAGUGGUGAAAUCCCGCAGCUCAACUGUGGAACUGCCAUUGAUACUGGCGUACUUGAGUACGGACGAGGUAGGCGGAAUUUAUGGUGUAGCGGUGAAAUGCAUAGAUACCAUAAAGAACACCGAUAGCGAAGGNAGCUUACUAGACCGUAACUGACGCUCNNCACGAAAGCGUGGGGAGCGAACAGGANUANAUACCCUGGUAGUCCACGCCGUAAACGAUGAUCACUCGAUGUGUNNAAUACNCCNUACNCNUCCAA
rnacentral:rRNA from 1 species